UGGAUUGUGCAAACUGCUAAACUGUCUGGGGGAUGGUUUGGUUUGGGCACCGAUGAAGGACGUGCCAAGCUGCGAAAAGCUUCGGGGAGACGCAUGGAGUCACAGAUCCGAAGAUAUCCUAAUCGGACUUCCGGUCCUUUAUGGACACUCCGUAAGGAGGGGGAACCCAGGGAAUUGAAACAUCUUAGUACCUGGAGGAAAAGAAAUCAAUUGAUAUGCCGUUAGUAAAGGCGAUCGAAAGCGGUAAAAGGCAAACCGAAUACAGAACCGACGAGGUUCUGUGGAUGUGGAGUAUGGACCCUUUUUAAUGUCUCGUAUCUGAAUCUGAAUCUGCUGGAAAGCGGAGCCAAAGAAUGUGAAAGCCAUGUAAGAGUAAGGAUAAAGUCUACAAGAAAGGAGUUCCUGAGUACCAUGCGUCGUUAUUCGCGUGGGAAUGUGGGUGGCAUCAACAUCCAACCUUAAAUAUGUCCCAAAUCCGAUAGCGUACAAGUACCGUGAGGGAAAACUGAAAAGCAACCCGGAAGGGUGGUAAAAAGUACCUGAAACCAGACAGUGAUAAACUUAUAGGGCACUAAAGCGGUGAAACCAUUAACUAUGGUAGAGCGGUGUUCUAUUGUCCGUGUUGAAGAACGGGCCAGGGAGUUUUGUCGAGUGGCGAGGUUAACUCAUUUUGAGGUAGCCGUAGCGAAAGCGAAGUAUCCGCACAGCAAUGGAGGGAUUGCGUAAUAAAUGCGUUAGUCACUUGAGGAAGACCCGAAUCCGGUCGAUCUACGCCUGAGUAAGUUGAAGCUAUGCGAAAGCAUGGUGGAGGACUGAACCGGUUCUGAUGUGCAAAUCGUUCGGAUGACUUGGGUGUAGGGGUUAAAGGCUAAUCUAGGCCGGUAAUAGCGGGUUCCCCCCGAUACUACCCGCAGGUAGACCUCAGCAGAGAUGUUUGGCGAGGUAGAGCGACCGAAUAGUUGGUUAGCGAUCGAAAGGUCGCGCCGACUUAUCGAACUCCGAACUUGUCAAAAUCGUAGAAGCUGGGUGCUAGAGUUCAGGGAUAAGCUCUGAAUUCGUGAAGGGAACAUCCUAGACGAGGGUUAAGGUCCCUAAAUCUAACUAAGUGCAAAUUAAAGGGGUUUACAGCCUAAAACAGUGUGGAGGUAGGCUUAGAAGCAGCCAUCCUUUAAAGAGUGCGUAACAGCUCACUCACCGAGGCUAUAUGCUCCGAAGAUGGAAGGGGCUAAAGUUAGAUACCGAGACCUUCGAGCACCGAAAGGUGAUCUGGUAGGGGGGCGUGCCAUAUGGGCGGAAGUUUCUUCGAGAGGAGGGAUGGACCGUAUGGUAUCGCGGAUCCUGGUAAAAGUAGCAGAAAAGAAUUGUGAGAAUCAAUUCCGCCGAAAGGGCUAAGGGUUCCUUGGCAAUGUUCGUCAGCCGAGGGUUAGUCGGUCCUAAGGUCACCCCUAAAGGGAAGUGACCGAAAGGGAAAACGGUUAAUAUUCCGUUACCUCCGAUGUUUUGCCAAAGAAGGAUGGUUCUGGAUAUUGGGAGUACGGUAGUCUACGUAUUGGAAAGAAUAAAUGGAUGGAGAGUUGUAAUAACGAGAAGUUUAUGAAAUCUUUUCAGUCCCCAUUAGGGGAUUUUCGAAAUUCCUGGAUCCUGUGAAAGACUUCUUUGGGCCAAGUUGGAGUCCGUACCAAGAACCGACACAGGUGCCCCUGGAUGAGAAGUCCAAGGCGUUUGAGAAUAAUGGACGCGAGGGAACUCGGCCAAAUAGCUCCGUAUCUUAGGUAUAAGGAGUGCCUGUUCCGAGAGGGAACAGGUCGCAGUGGCAAGGGGACCCCGACUGUUUACCAAAAACACAGGGCCGCUGCAAGUUCGAAAGGAUGUGUAUAGCGGUCGAAACCUGCCCAGUGUCGGUACCUGAAAGUCCCUUUCAAGGGAAAGUAGGGCCGAUAAACGGCGGGGGUAACUAUGACCCUCUUAAGGUAGCGUAAUACCUAGCCGCUUAAUUGGCGGCUUGCAUGAAGGUUCAACGAGAGUCCCACUGUCCCCGCGUUCAGCCUCGUGAAAUUGAUGCACUGGUGCACAAUCCAGUCUGUCCCACGUGAAAGCGAAGUCCCCGUGGAGCUUUACUGCAGCCUGUAGCUGUAAUACGGUUUUCGAUGCGUAGUGUAGGAAGGAGCCGUCGAUGCCAGAAUCUCGGUUCUGGUGGAGGCAACAAUGAAACACUUCCCUUCGUUAACUGCGUUACUAACUUGAUGAAAGGACACCUAUUGGUAGGCAGUUUGGGUGGGGCGCCACGCCCCUGAGAAUCAAACAGGGGCCCCCAAUGGUUGGCUCAGGAGGGUCAGAAAUCCUCCGUAGAGUGUAAGAGCAAAAGCCAGCUUGACUGUGUUGCAGGCAAUAAGCAACGCAGAUGCGAAAGCAAGGUCUAACGAACCACCCUGUCCCCUCUUGAUGAGGGCGGGUGAUAAGAGAAAAGUUACCCCAGGGAUAACUGAGUUGUCCUCGGCAAGAGUUCACAUCGACCCGAGGGUUUGCUACUUCGAUGUCGUCUGUUCCUAUCCUGGUGCUGAACAAGGUGCCAAGGGUGGGGCUGUUCGCCCAUUAAAAGGGAUCCUGAGAUGGGUUCACUACGUCGCGAGACAGUAGGGUUGCUUCUCCGUGGGGCUGUUCGAUGUCUGAAGGGAAGGGGCCUUUAGUACGAGAGGAACGGGGGCUCGUGGCUUCUGGUUUACCGAUUGUCCGGCAGGGCAUUUGUCGGGUAGCCACGCCAUACGCGGAUAAAAGCUGAAAGCAUCUAAGCUUGAAGCCGCCCCUGAAAAUAGACAUCGUUAUCAGGUCUCUCCUAAAAGAGGAGUUUGAUAGAGCUGGGAUGUAAGUAUCAAGUCUUUUGGCGAGAUAUUAAGUCCACAGCCACUAAUCGACCGAAUGCACAAUCCA
rfam:Thermoplasmatales archaeon E-plasma genomic scaffold AMDT2_EPLS00003, whole genome shotgun sequence.